rnacentral:rRNA from 1 species
CCUACGGGUGGCAGCAGUGGGGAAUAUUGGACAAUGGGGGGAACCCUGAUCCAGCCAUGCCGCGUGUGUGAAGAAGGCCCUCGGGUUGUAAAGCACUUUCAGUGAGGAAGAACGCCUGGUGGUUAAUACCCAUCAGGAAAGACAUCACUCACAGAAGAAGCACCGGCUAACUCCGUGCCAGCAGCCGCGGUAAUACGGAGGGUGCGAGCGUUAAUCGGAAUUACUGGGCGUAAAGCGCGCGUAGGUGGCGUGAUAAGCCGGUUGUGAAAGCCCCGGGCUCAACCUGGGAACGGCAUCCGGAACUGUCAAGCUAGAGUGCAGGAGAGGAAGGUGGAAUUCCCGGUGUAGCGGUGAAAUGCGUAGAGAUCGGGAGGAAUACCAGUGGCGAAGGCGGCCUUCUGGACUGACACUGACGCUGAGGUGCGAAAGCGUGGGUAGCAAACAGGAUUAGAUACCCCAGUAGUC